CUACGGGCCGCAGCAGUGGGGAAUAUUGCACAAUGGGCGAAAGCCUGAUGCAGCAACGCCGCGUGAGUGAUGAAGGUCUUCGGAUUGUAAAGCUCUGUUCUUGGGGAAGAAUAAAUGACGGUACCCAAGGAGAAAGCCCCGGCUAACUACGUGCCAGCAGCCGCGGUAAUACGUAGGGGGCAAGCGUUAUCCGGAAUCACUGGGCGUAAAGGGUGCGUAGGCGGCUUAGCAAGUCAGAAGUGAAAGGCAUUGGCUCAACCAAUGUAAGCUUUUGAAACUGUUAGGCUGGAGUGCAGGAGAGGAAAGUGGAAUUCCUAGUGUAGCGGUGAAAUGCGUAGAUAUUAGGAGGAACACCAGUGGCGAAGGCGACUUUCUGGACUGUAACUGACGCUGAGGCACGAAAGCGUGGGGAGCGAACAGGAUUAGAUACCCCGGUAGUC
rnacentral:rRNA from 1 species